CCUACGGGAGGCAGCAGUGGGGAAUUUUGGACAAUGGGCGCAAGCCUGAUCCAGCAAUGCCGCGUGAGUGAAGAAGGCCUUCGGGUUGUAAAGCUCUUUUGUCAGGGAAGAAACGGCUGAGGAUAAUACCUUCGGCUAAUGACGGUACCUGAAGAAUAAGCACCGGCUAACUACGUGCCAGCAGCCGCGGUAAUACGUAGGGUGCAAGCGUUAAUCGGAAUUACUGGGCGUAAAGCGUGCGCAGGCGGUUUUGUAAGUCUGUCGUGAAAUCCCCGGGCUCAACCUGGGAAUUGCGAUGGAGACUGCAAGGCUGGAGUCUGGCAGAGGGGGGUAGAAUUCCACGUGUAGCAGUGAAAUGCGUAGAGAUGUGGAGGAACACCGAUGGCGAAGGCAGCUCCCUGGGUCAAGACUGACGCUCAUGCACGAAAGCGUGGGGAGCAAACAGGAUUAGAUACCCUGGUAGUCCACGCCCUAAACGAUGUCUACUAGUUGUCGGGUCUUAAUUGACUUGGUAACGCAGCUAACGCGUGAAGUAGACCGCCUGGGGAAGUCGGUUCGNAAGNUUAAAACUCAAAUUGAGUAGAGCGNGAGAGNGCGAGACGACGACGAGGAGGAGG
rnacentral:rRNA from 1 species